UCAGUCGACUCCUACGGGGAGGCAGCAGUGGGGAAUAUUGCACAAUGGGGGAAACCCUGAUGCAGCCAUGCCGCGUGUGUGAAGAAGGCCUUCGGGUUCGUAAAGCACUUUCAGUAGGGAGGAAGGUAGUGUAGUUAACACCUGCACUAUUUGACGUUACCUACAGAAGAAGCACCGGCUAACUCCGUGCCAGCAGCCGCGGUAAUACGGAGGGUGCGAGCGUUAAUCGGAAUUACUGGGCGUAAAGCGCAUGCAGGCGGCCUGUUAAGUCAGAUGUGAAAGCCCGGGGCUUAACCUCGGAAUUGCAUUUGAAACUGGCAGGCUAGAGUCUUGUAGAGGGGGGUAGGAAUUUCAGGUGUAGCGGUGAAAUGCGUAGAGAUCUGAAGGAAUACCAGUGGCGAAGGCGGCCCCCUGGACAAAGACUGACGCUCAGAUGCGAAAGCGUGGGGAGCAAACAGGAUUAGAUACCCUGGUAG
rnacentral:rRNA from 1 species